rnacentral:rRNA from 1 species
GUAGUCCACGCAGUAAACGAUGAAUACUAACUGUUCGGAGGGCGACCUCUGAGUGGUAAAGCGAAAGCGUUAAGUAUUCCACCUGGGGAGUACGCCGGCAACGGUGAAACUCAAAGGAAUUGACGGGGGCCCGCACAAGCGGAGGAACAUGUGGUUUAAUUCGAUGAUACGCGAGGAACCUUACCCGGGCUCAAACGUCGGGCGAAUCAUCCUGAAAGGGAUGAGCCAGCAAUGGCGGCCGACGAGGUGCUGCAUGGUUGUCGUCAGCUCGUGCCGUGAGGUGUCGGCUUAAGUGCCAUAACGAGCGCAACCCCCGCGUCCAGUUGCCAGCGAUUUAAGUCGGGCACUCU